UCCUUAGUUCCGCGUGUAUUCACUGGAGGGCUCUCAGGCUUUACCGCACUGCAGCGUGCCCUGCGGCGCACGCGCGCGCGGGCGGGGUCUGUGUGCUGCGGGGCGCGGAGCCGGAGCAGGGGAGGAGAAGCGCUUGGGCACAGCCGAGACUGUAGUGUCCACUGCUCGCCUCAGUAGCCACCGCUUUAACCGGUGGAGCCGCCGCCUAGUGUCUUUCUCAGUGGCGAAGGUGAGGAGCUGUCCCGGCUUGGCCUGCGGGGGAGCCCCGGGAGCCACAAGGUUCUCUACCAAAAUGAGGGAAUAACCCAAGAAAGAGAAAGAUAAAGGAUCAAAAAAUAGAAUAUCCACCCAGGAAAGAGGUGUAAGCAAGUCCCAGAGUGACAACUGAGCAGCAGGCCCGAAGAGAACCAGGUGGAAUAAGAUAACAGAGGGUUCCAGAAGGAACAUCUCAGGAAAAGAGGAAAUCAGGUAUAGGACCUUAUAGAAAAUAGCUCUCAGGGCUUGCAGAUUUACAUAUAUAACAAUUUUCUCUGAAUAUAAGAUCAACAUACAAAAAUCAAGUAUAUUUCUAUAAUGAGCAAUCCAAUGUCAAAAGAAGAAAACGAAAACAAUUCUGUGUACAAUAACAUCAAAAAGAAUAAAGUAAUUAGGAAUACAUUUAAUAAAUGAAGUGCAAAAUUUGUACAAUGAAAACUACAAACAUUGUUGAAAGAAAUUAAAGAAGAUCUAAACAAAUGGAGAGGCAUCCCAUGUUCAUGGAUCAGAAGACUUAAUAUUGUUAAAAUGGACAUACUCCUCAAAUUGAUCUACAGAUUCAGUGCAAUCCCUAUCAAACCCCAGCUAGGUUUUUUGCAGAAAUUGAUGAACUGAUUUUAAAAUUCAUAUGGAAAUGCAAAGGAACCAGAAUAGACAGAACAAUCUUUAAAAAGAAUAACAAAGACAGAAGACUCACACUUCCUGAUUCUAAACCUUCCUACAAAGCUACAGUAAUCAAAACUGUGGUAGCGGCAUGAGGACAGACUAUAGAUAAAUGGAAUAGAAUUAAGAGCUCAAAAAUAAACCCUUAUAUUAUGGUCAACUGAUUUUUACAAGGGUGCCAAAACAAUUCAAUCAGAAAGAAUAGUCUUGUCAGCCACUCAUGAUGGCUCACACCUGUAAUCCCAGAAAUUUGGGAUGCCUAGACUGGCUGAUCACUUGAGGCCAGGAGUUUGAGACCAGCCUGGUCAACAUGGCAAAAUGCUAUCUUUAUUAAAAAUAUAAGAAUUAGCUGGGUGUGGUCAUGUGUACCUCUACUCCCAGCUACUUGGGUGGCUGAGGCAUGAGAAUCUCUUGAACUCAGGAGGUAGAUGUUGCAGUGAGUGAAGACUGCAUUCCAGUCUGAACAACAAAAUGAGACUAUGUCUCAAAAACAACUCCAUGCAAAAGAAUGGAGUUGGGGAGUGAUUCCUAGGGUGAUGACAAUAUUCUUAAAUAGAUUCUGGUGAUGGCUAUGCCACAAUAUAUACUAAAAACCAUUGGAAUUUUACACGGUAGGGUAAUUUUAUAGUAUACAGUUAUAUGUCAAUAAGGUUGUUUAAAAAUUAAAAAUAGUUUUCUUAAAUUUGGGAAGAAUCAAUGACAGUUACAAAGAAAUCUAAGCAAUAAAAAUAAAAAAGUUGGUAUUGUAUGGAUUUGAAAAUGCAUAUAUUGUUCACAUUUUCACAUUUCUGAUAUUGAGAUGCAUCCUACAAACAAGGGAGCAUCACAGUUUAGUUGGGAGUGUUCUUUCUUAGUUUACAUAAAUAAUGGCACAUCUUAUCAUCUUAAAUUAGAAGAAUUAUAGUGAUAUGUUCAGAAGAAACAAGACGUGCAGGGGGCCAGGCACAGUAGUUCAUGCCUGUAAUCCCAGCACUUUGAGAGGCCAUGGCAGGAAAAUUGCUUGAGCUCAGGAAUUUGAGAUUAGCCUGAGCAACAUAGGAAGACCUUAUCUCUGAAAAAAAAAAAAAAAAAAAACAUUAAAAAUUAGGCGGGUGUGGUGGCGCGUGUCUGUAGUCCCAGGUACUCAGGAGACUGAGGUGGGAGGAUCUCUUGAGCCUGCGAGGUUGAGGCUGCACUGAACCAUGAUUGUGCCACUGCACUCCAGCCUGGGCGACAAAGUGAGACCCUGCCGAAAGGAGAGAGAGAGAGGGAGAGGGAGGGAGGGGAGGGAGGGAGGGAGGGAGGGGAAAAAAGAAUAAAGAAAAAGGAAAAUAAGAAAGAAGAGAAAGAAAUAAAAAGAAAAAAAUGUACAAGAUAGGAAAUGUAAUUAUAAUAUAUUCCACGGCUCCUCAAUGCCCAAGACUUAUAGCCAUAAUCAGACAGAAAUAUAUUAAUGAAAAAGAGCUUUUUCUGAAAGUUGUGAUAUUACUACAUUGGGAGGGUAAAGGGAGAAAAAAUAGAAUAUGGGGUGGUAUGAAAAGUUAAUUCUUCAUCUUCCAUAAUGGGGAAUAAAAGACAACAUCUAAAAUCAGUAAUUUGAGAAAACAGCAGUAUGGGUGCAUUAUUUAGAAAUAUAGAAAUAACAAGUGACUGAAAGAAUUUGAAGGGGAGAAUUCAGGGAUGAGGAGGAAAUUACCGAAAUGUUUUCCUGUUAUUGCUGCUGAUUAUGACACAACUUGACUUUAAAAAUCGUGUAUUGGCCGGGCGUGAUGGCUCAAGCCUGUAAUCCCAGCACUUUGGGAGGCCGAGGCGGGUGGGUGGCGAGGUCAAGAGAUGGAGACCAUCCUGGUUAACAAGGUGAAACCCCGUCUCUACUAAAAAUACAAAAAUUAGCUGGGCAUGGUGGCGCGUGCCUGUAAUCCCAGCUACUCGGGAGGCUGAGACAGGAGAAUUGCCUGAACCCAGGAGGCAGAGGUUGCAGUGAGCCUAGAUAGCGCCAUUGCACUCCAGCCUGGGUAAGGAGCAAAACUCCGUCUCAGAAAAAAAAAAAAAUCAUGUAUCUGUAGUACUUUGAUUUGAAUGGAAGGAAAAAAGGAAAUGGGGAAGGAGGAAGUGGAGGAUCUCCAUGGAUCCCAUCCCUGUGAUCAGAAGGGCUGGGGGCAAUGCCCCCACCUCAGGUCCAGUGGGAGGGAAAAUUGAGUACCCAGGUGGCUGCAUUAUGCGGAGAGUGAAUCCUCAGGUCCACAAGCCUGACAGCAGGGCAGUGGGAUGGCAGAGCCUGCUAGGAGAAUUUGUUUUCAGAUUCUAUCCUCCUUCAGAGGCACUGACCUCCCCCACAAAAGGGAGAGGCUCCUAACAGCAGCCAAACCCAAGCCCUCCUGGGGCUGCCUGCUCUGUAGCUUUGCAGCCAGGGAUUUUGGCUGGGGUGGGGUUAGCCACAGUCCCGCUGAACCAGAGAAACCAGCCUUCCACUGCACGCGUGGUAAGAAACUGCUGCGGAAGCAGCCGCCAACGCAUCCACCCCACCUGGUGGAAGAAGGGAGAUCGCAGUGCGAGGCUGUGAGGAUUGCUCCAAGAGCUUCUGUACUGGGAAAAAACCACUACGUCGCUUCUUUACUGAUACAAGGUGUUCCUCUGUUUCAUCUUCUUGUAUUCUGUUAUCUUAGAUUUUUAAAGGUAUGAGAUUAUUUGAAAUCCUUAUAGAUGAUGGGAGACCGCAGAGGCUCACGCCUGUAAUCCCAGCAAUUUGGCAGGUUGAGGCAGGUGGAUCAGCAGGUCAGGAGAUCUAGCCCAUCCUGGCUAACAUGGUGAAACCCUGUCUCUACUAAAAAUACAAAAAGUUAGCUGGGCGUGGUGGUGGGCACCUGUAAUCCCAGCUACUCAAGAGGCCAAGGCAGGAGGAUCACUCGAACCCGGAAAGGUGGAGGUUGCAGUGAACCAAGAUUGUGCCAUUGCACUCCAGCCUGGGUGACAGAGCAAGACUUCAUCUCAAAAAAAAAAAAAAAAUCCUUAUAGAUAAAUGGAAAGAAUGGUUGCUUUCAUCAGGAAACAACACCCCCGAUCUUGUGGGAGACUGCUCCUCCUUCCCUUUCUGUUCAAGUAGGAGCCACCAGCUUCUACUUCCCUGGUCACAGCACUUGCUUUAGGGGUGGGCAGAAGAUCGAGGCUGCACUGAUCACCCUGUCCCAUUUUCUAGGCCUUAAUGGAGGAGGGCACAUGGCCCUGAUGAAUCAAUCGCAUUCUUGAAGGUUUGCUUUAUUUGCCCCCAACUAGCUGUCAGGAAAGCAAGCUAAUAUAUGAACCCAUGAUUUUCUGAUGGCCAUGGUCCAGUCUUAUGGAGAAAUCCAAUUCAAUAGAAGGAGGUCAUCAUGCAGGAAGAUACAAACACAACCAAAGCAGGAAGUGAGAGGUAGGCCGAGCCCUAGGGUCAUGAAGUCCUCAGCUCCAGCUGCCGCAGCUACACCCUCAGCCCUCCUGGUGCACACACAUUUCUCUUCUCCUUAGCUAUUUGAUUUUUCUGUCAUUUGCAAGCAAAACAAUUCUAAGUAAUAUACCCCUCUGAUUUAUAUAUUUUUUAAGAAAGAAGGGAAAUCAUUCAUAAACUCCAGUACUUUCACUAUUUAUUUUUCUAUUUUUGUUAUUUAUUUUUGAAACAGCAUCUCACUCUGUCGCCCAGGCUGGAGUGUGGUGGCGCGAUCAUAGCUCACUGCAGCCUCACAUUCCCAGGCUCAAGCGAUCCUCCUGGUUCAGACUCCUAGUAUUACAGGUGCCUGUCACCAUGCUGGGCUAAUUUUUAAAUUUUUAGUGGAGACAAGGUCUCGCUAUGUUGCCUGGGCUGGUCUUGAACUCGUAGGCUCAAGCAAUCUUCCAGCUUCAAUCUCCCAAAGUGCUGGGAUUACAGAUAUGAGCCACCUUUCGCGGUCUUUCCAUUGUUAUAAAGGAAACAAUUAAUUAUAGUGGCACAGCUCUAAGUGGUAAAACUCACUAGCUGUUGAGAGGUCUUGACAGGAGCUUCCUGAGAUUCCUAACAGUUUAAGUCAUUGAAGAUGAUUCACUGAAUCACAGAUCUUUUCAGAAGGAGGCCAUCUUUUCUAUACCAGCCAUUAGACUUUCUCACCUCUGGGUUCUGUGCCUACCUGGAAGACCCUGGUGUCUGCCUGCAGUGUCAGGCCACACACUCUGGCUCAAAGCAGCUGACACUGAAAUAAUGACACACCCCAGAUCCAAAGGAGAUUAGAGAUUAAAAAUAUCUGCCCUCUGGGCACUGCUCAAGAAAGGAUCCCUUGAAAGCUGUAUGCUUUGAUGGAGUAUAUUUCUCUUCCAACUGAUGCAUUGGCAUCAAAAAGAAUAGUUUGGUAAUAUAAACAAUGGACUCCUCUAAAAGUAGCAAAGAAUCUUAUUGAAGAAGGAAGUUUCAAGGGAUAAAAGCAAUCUUUUGUUUAUAAAGUGAGUUUUCUAUCUCUACUUUGCUUUAUUCUUUAUUAUUAAAAUUUAUUUUUUAUUUUUUGAGAAGAGCACUCACUCUGUUGCCCAGGCUGGAGUGCAGUGGCACAAUCACAGCUCACUGCAGCCUCGAUCUCCCAGAAGUGGCAUGCACCACGACGCCUGGUUAAUUUUUUGUAUUGUUUGUAGAGGCUGGGUUACACCAUGUUGCCCAGUCUGGUCUCAAACUCCCAGGCUCAAGCAAUUCUCUUGCCUCAGCCUCCCAAAGUGCUGAAAUUACAGGCAUAAGCCACCACUCCUGACAACCUUUCUUUUUUCUUGGAAAAAGAAAAACAGACAAGUUUCGCUGGGAGAAAAAUUUGUUCUUUGUCAGCUGGGGCUGAGUGAAGGAAGCAGGAAGCAGCCUGCAUGGUAGCAUCUCCAGCCUGGUCAACCUCACUCACCGUCUGUCACUGACACGCACGUGGAGUCAGUGGAUGCAAGGAAUUUACUGAUGCGUAGGAGGGUGUGUAGCAUUUCAUGUGUCUGUCCAGUGGGCGGUCUUGAUGUGGGUUAUUGCCUUCUUACUUGUAGAUGAGAAAUGAGUCCCACCUUGGAAAGCUAGGAAAGGUGUCUGUAUGGAGAGCAGAUAGCCACAUGGCCUGUGUGAGGAUGAGAAAGCUGCUCUAAGCAGUCCUUGUACGAUCUUCUCUUCCUUGUUCUUUUUUGCUCUCGACAUAACUUGCAGAGCUUGGCAGGUGGGAGGGGAGCAGGAUGGGGACCUGAGAGGUCUGUCUUUCUUCUAGCUCCUGUUUUAGUCCCUUGCUGUUCUCCAAGGGGAGGGAACAUGGAUCUUAUUGGGUAGACUGGGCCACAUUUACCAGUGGAUCAGGUCACUGCGUGUUGAAAGGUUAUACGCAACACAUGUACCUCGCUGACUCCUGCCUAGCCUUCUGUCUCUAGUGUUUCCCCAUCGUGAAGCUAAACUGGAAAACUCUGCAGUCUGGCCAUCUGGCUCUCUUUCUACUUCCCCUCGCGUAUGUAUCAGGAGUCUCUUUUUUCUCUGAAGUCUUGGUAGCCGGUGGGAGGUAUAUUUCAGAUUUAGACUUGUUCAGAAGGAGUGGGCCCAGUUAGAACUCUAGGUGAAUGUACCAGCCCCAUGUUACCAGAGAACCAGGAGAGUCAGGCAGGGUGAUGGGCGCCUCGUUACUCAUCGCUUGUUCCCAUUUGUUACCAGGAGUGUCAGGCAGGGUGAUGGGCGCCUCAUUACUCAUUACUUGUUCCCAUUUGUUCAUCGGGACCCAUAGGGAAGAGGCAAAUCUGCUUCUUCUUCCUGCCUAUCUGAUUCUUCCUAUCUACUAGCAGGCUCAUCUAAGAGAUCCCAAAUAGUAACAUGAACGAGACAGGCAUUGGGAGCCCAGAUUCUUUUUUUUUUUUUUUUUUUUUUUGAGACAGGGUUUUGCUCUGUCACCUGGGCUGCAGUGCAGUGGGUUAUGGCUCACGGCAGCCUCUACCUUCCAGGCUCAGGCAAUUCUCCCAUCUCAGCCUCCCAAGCAGCUGGGACUACAAGUGCCUACCACCAUGCCCAGACAAUUUUUCUAGAAGGGGUUUCGCCAUGUUCUCCAGGCUGGUCUCAAAUUCCUGGGCUCAAGAUCUGCCCAUGUUGGCCCCCUAAAGUGCUGGGAUUACAGACAUGAGCCACCGCCUCAGGCGCCCUUUCACUUGAAGUUGCUUCAUCUCUCGGGUGUCACCUUUGUCUUCAUGCUCCAAGCUUGCUCACCUUCCCAUCUGCAUUCCAACUGGCAGGGAGCAAAAAUGUGAAAUGUACCAGGAACGCGUGGGAUGCGCCCAUUUAUCUAAGGCGGGGAUCAGCAACCACAGCCUGCAGGCUGGCUACCAUGAUUAUAAACAGGCUUUAGCGGAACACAGCCACUCUCCUUUGUCUGUGGCUGCUUUCAACUUUAAGGGCUGAGUUGAGUAGUUGCAACAAUAUGGCCCACAAAACCUGAAAUAUUUACUAUCUGGCCCUUAAGAAAAAGUCAACAGAAUCUGCUUCCAAGGCCAUGAUGGGAGGCUGUCUAUUGGAUUUCCACUCACACCGCAUUGGCCAGACCAUGACCACCCCCAGCUCAAGAAGGAUGAGAGAUGUAGUUGUUUUUUUUUUUGAGACAGACUCUCACUCUGUCACCAUGUUGGAGUGCAGUGGCAUGAUCUCGGCUCACUGCAACCUCCAUCUCCUGGGUUUAAGCGAUUCUCCUGCCUCAGCCUCCUGAGUAGCUGAGACUACAGGCCCGUGCCACCACAUCCAGCUAAUUUUUGUAUUUUUGGUAGAGAUGGGUUUUGCUAUGUUCGCCAAGAUAAUCUUGAUCUCUUGACCUCAUGAUCCGCCUGCCUCAGCCUACCAAAGUGCUGGGAUUACAGGCAUGAGCCACCAUACCUGGCCUUUUUUUUUUUUUCUUUUGAGACAGAGUCACUCUCGUCACCCAGGCUAGAAUGCAGUGGUGCUAUCAGCUCACUGCAGUCUCAAUCCCCUGGGCUUAAGUGAUCCCCCCACCUCAGCCUCCUAAGUAGCUGGGACUACAUGCACACACCACCAUGCCCAGCUCAUUUUUUAUUUUUUAUAGAAACAGGGUCUCACUAUGCUGGUCUUAAACCCCUCCUACCUCAGCCUCCCCAAAUGUUGGGAUUACAGGCAUGAGCCACAGUGCCUGGCUGAGGCAGAAGAAUUGCUUGAACCUAGGAGGCGGAGAUUGUGGUGAGCCGAGAUCGCACCAUUGCACUCCAGCCUGGGUAACAAGAGCGAAACUCUGUCUCAAAAAAAAAAAAAGAUGGGGGGAGACUGGCAACUGGAAGACAGCCAACUGUCUUUCUACAUGGGUCCCCCGGCCUGAUGGUGGUGCCUGAUAUGUUCACAUUUUGAGUUUAUGAAUGAGAUCCUUGCUAUUCACUCAUAGCCACAUUGAUUUCUGUCGUUACCUCUGCCUUUCCUUCCCCAUUAGGAUAUUUUGCCCGGCAGAGACAGGUUUCAAUUCAAGCGCUGCCUUUCCUUGCAGAGUCUCUUUCCUAAAUGCCUUCAUACGCAAGUGUGGGAUAAGCGCCUGGCCCUGCUGCCUCCCGUCCCUGCCAGGGACAAAGUCUCUGUUGGCAAAUUGCUCCCACGCUACCGUUCCAUAUCUUUGUCAGAACUUCAUCCAAAGCAACAAUUUCUCUCUCUCAAGAAGUGGAAAGCAACCUCCAGGCACGGUGGGAACUUGUUGGACCCCUUGAUGGUGGGCAAGUAGGAUGCCCCCAUAGAUGAGGUCCUUCCCGCCCCAUUGCUGCUGUGUCCUAGAGAUAAUGCCUUUAUGAUCCAGGCCAGGACUUUCUCUCAUUCUCUCCUAAAUGACAGCUGCUCCUCAUUACAAGUGUUACAUGUAAGCCCCCGGAUUUGAGGAUUCUGAAGCAGGCAUGUGGCUUCUUAACAUACUUCCUAAGGCUAGGCAUGGUGGCUCAAACCUGUAAUCCAAGCAUUUUGGGAAGCAGAGAUGGGUAGAUCACUUGAGGCCAGGAGUUAAAGACCGGCCUGGGCAACAUAGACUCCCUGCCAUCUCUAUAAAAAGUAGCCAGGCAUGGUGGCAUGCGCCUGUAGUCUCAGCUACUUGGGAGGCUGAGGUGGGAGGAUCCCUUGAGCACAGGAAAUCAAGGCUGCAGUGAGCCAGGAUUGCACUACUGCACAGCGGCCUGGGCAACAGAGAUCCCAUCGCAAACAAAACAAAACAACACAGCAAAGCACCCUUCCUAAUAAGUCUGCCUGUUUCGAAUAUCCUCCUAAGGCCAUAGCCAAUCUUUAGUCUCAUGGCAGCAUCUUGGUUACACCCAUGAGAUCAUAGUUACCGUGCUGUGUUCUGGCUUCAUCUUAGACUUGCUCAUGACCCACCCACUGUCUGCAUACAAAUGCAGGAAAACUUAGAAUCAGAUCUGGAGCACAUUUUGAAACCUUGCUAUGCGUUAUGCGAGAAACAACUGAAGGAACUAAGGGUGCCUGCCUCAGAGAAGAGAAGCCUAGAUGGGCCCCAUCUUCAAACGGUUGAAGGACUGUCACAUGGAAAGGGGAUUAAAACAUUUCUAUAAGGUUUAAGAUUUGACUUUUUAAAACUAAUGAGCAAGUAUUACUUUGGUAAGUAGGAAAAAGGACAACAAAGAGAUACAUACGAGAUGAGACCCACUCACAGUGGCCCAGAAUGGCAAAACUGGGGUUGAUCAAAGCAAAACACUUUUUGAUGCAAAAUCAAAAAAGAACCUUCUCAGAAGUGGAGCUCUCCAGUAUGAAGUGAGUAGCACUGAGAGGUGUGAGGUGCUUCUCCUGAUGAGAUUUAAGCAAAUGAUGAAUGACCACUUGCUAUCAAGCAGAACAGAGGGUUAACAAAGUGACUGUCCUCGGUGAUGUCCUUCUCAUUACAAAAAGGAACUUUCUCGAUCGGCUUAGGUUAGAGGGGGAUUUCUGGAAUGAAUUUGGCUCUCACAGAAUCCAAGGAAAAGCUGAACAACUGGGCUGCAGGAAGGGAGGGAAUGAGAUCAGCUCCAAGCCAUAGCCCCACCGUGGUGACUCAGUUCCCAGCUCUGUUUCUGGGUUUUAUAAUUCAUAUUCUUUCCCGAGAAUCUGAAAGGUCAUUGGCAAGAAUACAGAUUUGGCCUGCCCUGAGUCAGGCGUUCCAUCCUGGUUCAAUAGCAAAUCACUCAUGGGAAUGGAGUCUCAUGAUUCAAACAUAAAGACACAGUGACAGAGGCCAUCCAUGCAGUGGGUGUACACACUCUCCGAAAAGCUUGGUGGGGAGGUAGACACCCUUGAAAUAAUGUUUAAGGUCCUGUCCAACCUCAGGGCUCACUGAUCCCAAGUCAAAAGUAAUUUCAAGCAGAUGAUAUUCUUCAUGUGGUUGCAAAGAGGUCAGGAUUAAUUAACAUUCAGCUGAAGUCAUGAGUUUGAAUUAAAGUGAGGGGGUAGCAGAGGUGAGAGCAUGGCCAUGGGAAGAAAGGGGCAGAAGGGGGUUCAAUGUAGCCCACUGGUCAACUCACAGACCUUGGCAGUGUGCCUACCGGGGCAUGCAUUGUCUAGGGCAGAGCUACCCAUGGGCUGGAUUACAAGUUACACAGCAUCUGUGUCCACAUAGUUUUUUUCCCCCAUGCCAUUUACAAAAUAAACUUAAAAUUUUCAAUAGUUUAGACUUAAAAACCAAUGCCCCAAUACCACAAAGCUCUCAUAUACCCCACACCCAUUGUCCCCUCUUGUUAACAGCUUACACUACUAUGUGCUAUGUACUGAAUGUCCAUGUCUCCUCAAAAUUCAGAUGCUGAAUCCUAGCCCCCAAGGUGAAGAUAUUAGGAGGUAGGGCCCUUGGGAAGAGAUAAGGUCAUGAGGGUGGAGCCCACCUGAAUGGGAUUAGUGUCCUUGGGCCAGAAGCCCCAGGGAGCUCAUUGGCCUCUACUGCGAUGUGAGGACCCAGGGAGAAGGGCCACCUAGGAGAAACAGGCUCUCAGCAGGCACCACAUCUUCUAGCACCUUGAUUUUGGACUUCCCAGCCUCAAGAGCUGUGAGAAAUACAUUCCUUUUGUUUAUCAGCUAUCCUAUUUAUGGUAUUUGGUUCUCAUCCAAAACUGACUAAGACACAAGGGUACACUGUGAGCCCUAUAUUCAAGGGGCCUGCAGUCUUCUAGGGAAGGCCACUGGCCACAAGAUGAGUGUGCAGGGAGUCCAGAGAAGGAGGCCAAGGGCAGUCCUUGGGCUGUUCCAUGACCCAGCUGGUGGAGCUGAGCCAACAGACGGGCAGGGAAGGGGCAGAGGGCCGAUCCCAGGAGAGGACUAUACAGUCCACAGCAUCAGGGCACUCUGCCCACAGUCCAAGGGCAGCUGGAGCAGGUGGCAGGGACUGAAGGAGGGCUGCAGAGAGAAGGUGAGAGCCUAGCUGGAGCUACGGGAGGCUGGCCAAGCCUCCACUCUGCAGAGCUAAGGGAAGGACACAGGCCCUGAGGAUGGGGACCCAGGUCACCCUGUGGGGGAUCACAGGGAGCAAGGCUGCUGCCCACUGGAACCAAAAUCUGUGGCAGAACAGAAGCAAGACCUGGCUCUCUGGGGCUGAGCUGAAAAACUGCUGCCCAGGGCUACAUCCUCCCGCUGCCCUAGGCCAAGGCCAGCCCAAACUGGGAAGGAAGCUGAACCUGGCAGGUAGGGGUGAGGGUGCAGGGGCCCAGCAGCCACAGGGCAGGGGGCAUUGCAGGUCCUAGAAGCCAAAGCUGCAGAGGGAAAUGAGAAUUGAGAUGGGAGCAGGACAGGCAGCAGGGAGAUGGAGAGGGCAUGCUGGUGAUAGGAACUCCAGAAACACAGGCAGGGGAGGGACGUCAGUAGUGGCACAGAGGGCUUGGGGUGGGGAGGAAAGGCCAGGAAGGAGGUGAGGGCGGGCCACACAACAGGGUUCUCUGAACACCAGCAGCCCAACAGAGAGACUCCAGAUCACAGUUUGUGUUAUGAGGACUUCAGCUCUGACCUAAAAAUAUCGAGGAUGCAUGAGGUCGGGCUCCCCUCAGAUGGGCCCAGGACACCCCUAUACCACCCAGAACUAGGUGGCGUGGCUCCAAUCCUGCCUCUGCCUCUUCCCCGCUGUGUCCCUUUAGGCACAUGACUUAACCUGUCUGCGCCUCUGAUUCCUCAGCUAGUGAUAUUUAACACGUACUUCAAGGAGUUGGAAGGAUUGAGUUAAAAUAUAGAAGGCUCUGAGAACAGUGCCUGGCACAUAGUGCCACAUAAGCAUAUGCUAAUAUUACAGCUAUGUAGAGUAAAGCAGUUUGAGCAUUAGCCAAUAUUUCCCAAGUUGUAUUCCGUGAAAUCGUCAACUGAGAUACUUCCAUCAAAAAGCUUCUUAUGGGCCAGGUACGGUGAAUGACGUUUGUAAUCCCAACACUUUGGGAAGCCAAGGUGGGCAGACCACUUCAGUCAGCCCUGGGCAACAUAGCAAGAUCUCGUCUCUACCAAAAAGCAAAACAAAACAAAACAUAAAAAUUGGCUGGACAUGGUGGCACGUGCCUGCAGUCCUUGCUACUUAGGAGGCUGAGAUGGGAGGAUCGCUUGAGCCUGAGAGGUUGAGGCUGCAGUGAGCCAUGAUCACCCCACCAUACUCCAGCCUGAGUGACAGAGUGAGAUUGUGUCUUUAAAAAAAGGUUCUUUGCUCCUAAGUUCAGCGGAAUAAAAAUAAAUAAAUAAUAAUUUAAAAAAAGGUUCUUACGGUUAAAUAAUUUGGAAAAAGCCUCAUAUCCACGCCAAGCACUGACAAGUCCACAGUUAAAAAACAUAAAAUAAACAAAAAGUUCAAAUAGCUUACUCUAAGUUUAUUUGACCCAGUGUUUCCAAAUCUAGUGGAUCACAGAACCCUCUGAAUGCCUCUCGGGAGUGUACCAUGGGACCUCAGUUUGGGAAGCUGGGAAGGGAGUCUCUGAAAGCAGAGAAAGGGGCGACACCACCUGGCAGGGGAAGCCACAGAGAGAUCCUGGUGCCCAGGUGGGGAGGGGAGGAGGCUUUGGUGUGCGCCCACAACAGAAAGGAAGGGGUAUGUGAGGGACCCCAGGAGAGCGGGGGAGAGAGGACCAGGGUGCCGCUCAGAUGUGGAGGGGAAGGGGGAGAAGGCAGAGGUAACCCUGAGAAUUCGCACUGGGGGAGGUAGAAAAGGGGGGAGGAGGAAGGAGGUGCAGUAGGACAUGUCCUUCCUGAUGUCCCCACUCACUCUCUGCAUCCUCACUCCAUGACCCCUUCCCAGUUGUGGGAUUGAGCAAGGGCUGAGUCUCAAGGCUUCCCUGAGGAGGGCCCUGGGAAAGGGAAGGUCAGAAGCACAAACAGGUUCUGUCCUCACUAGGCACAGAUCGUGUGGUUGUAAAACCGGCAGCAGUUCUGCAGGGCCUCUGGGCUGAACUCUGGGUUGAUGCUAAAAAAAAAAAGCAAAGACUGCAGUGUGAGCUCCAGGCUGGCUCUGCUGGCCACGGCCAGGCUGUGCAACGAUGGGAACAUUGCUUCAAGUCUCCGGUCCACUCUUCCUCCACUGGUCCUCAAGCCUUCACUUCCCCAUCAGCUGUAGCCAUAACAUUUUUACCUUCACCCUGGUACCAAAGGCACCCCCCCCCCACCAGCACUCAGGCAUUCUGUGCCAUCGCUGGGGGUCCCCUGCAGGCCCCAUAGCUCACACCCUUACCUCUGGAAGGCAUCGCGGCAGCACUGAUAUACCUCAAAACUACUGCUGCUGAGGGUCAUGUUCAGGAGGGACAUGCAGUUGACUUCAGCCCCCCUGGGCACGUAGAGGAUGCCUGUGGUGGGAAAGCGGUGGGUGGGCAGGGCCUCUGGGCUAACCAGAAAAUCAGGGUUCCACAUUCUGAGCCUGCCAGGCCUGCACUCACCUGCCAUGCAGGCAUUCACCAGGGACACACAGGCCCCCGUGAAGAGCGCCCGGAGCACAAUCUGGGAGAAGUCGCUCUUCCGUUGGGGGACCAUGGAGGCUGCAAGGGGACAGAAGUCCUCAGGGCCAGGGAAGCUGUGCCCCUCUCUGUCCACAUCUCUAGCUCCAGCUACAUCUGCUAACCUCCCUUCCUCUUCUAUUAAUACACGGCCAGAGAGACAGAUGCUAUCCUCCGGGCCACUGGCUGAGCCCAGAAGCCCUCUUCAGCCUGGCCUGGAGGCAAUGCCCACAACUCCCCACACACCAUCCAUGGCAGAUGCAGGAAAAGAAUUUGAGUUUGGAGCCAGGCAGACCUGGGAUGAAAUGCAGGCUCAGCCACUCGCUAGCCAAGGGACCUGAACCACACUUCACUUCUCCAAGACUCAGUUUCCUUCUUUGUAAAGUGGGGUGAUUUCACCACCAGGCAGGGUUGCAGCUGGGAGUAGAAAUGUUAUUUGUAAAGAACUGAGAACUGUGCAGACUCUUUGACCCUAGGCCCCACCAGGCCUGGCUGCCCCACCAGGCCAGGCCUUGGGGACAGGCCAGCACCAUACCUCCCACCCUUAAGCCAGGCUAGGCCUUCAAGGCCCGGGUGCUGACCUCCUGGGCCACCACUCGCAGCAGAGAAUCGGAAUUCUAGGGCUAAAAGGAAACUCUCACUCUGUCGCCCAGGCUGGAAUAUAGUGGUGUGAUCUUGGCUCACUGCAACCUCUGUCUCGUGGGUUCAAGCAUCUUCGUGUCUCAGCCUCCCCAGUAGCUGGAUCACAGGUGUGCACAACCACACCCAGCUAAUUUUUGUAUUUUUAGUAGAGAUGGAGUUUUGCCAUGUUGGCCAGGCUGGUCUUGAGUGACCCACCCGCCUCAGCCUCCCAGAGUGCGGGGAUUACAGGCACAAGCCACCACGCCCGGCCUCUAUGGCCAUCUUGCUUGGGCCCUGCUUUAGAAAAAUGAGACAACUGAGGCCUACAUAUCGCCAGCAAGUUCAAGUCUCUGGCUCUCCUAGACACUGGUGAGGCCCCCAUUAGACUCACUCAAGCCUCCCAGCAUGAUCCCAAUGGAGCUGAAAUUGGCAAAUCCACAGAGGGCAAAUGUCGUCAGGACUUCAGCUCUAACCUGAAAAUACAAAAGAUGCAUGAGGAGGGGCUCCCCUCAGAUGGGCCUGGGGUGGCCCUAUAACACCCAGGACCCCGGCCUUAAUUUUACCCACUUCUUACCUGUAAUUGAUCUUCAAGCCCUCUGCGCUGCCCCUUCCCCAGCCUUGCAAUCCCACCUCUAUGUCAGCUCAAACUGCACCACAUCAAAAACACAGCCCUGAUCUCUCAUCUGUCCUUCAACCUUUUAAUCUUCAUUACCAGCCUUUCUAGAUGGGAUUCAGCUUUUCUUAGUCCUCUCGCUUUGGCCCUACUAAGCUGUGUCCUGGGGCGACUGGGUGGACAGCCCCUUCCCUGACACAGCACUCCUGUGACUGCUCUCAGGCUGAGAGAGGGAGUGUGGCCUACAGGAAAGAGUAAGGGAUUUGGAGCACAGCCAGCCAGCCUGGCUUUCAGGACUGGCUCACCGAGAUCAGCUCGAGCAAGUCAAUCGCUUCUCUCAGUGUCAGUUUCCCUGCCUAGAAUGGGGGAAUAAUAGUACCUGCCUGGGAGAGCUGUCAGAAGGGUUAUGUAAGGUACAGGAAACACCAGGCAGAGAGCAGGUGUUUAAACAUGGUAGUUAUUCCCUUUUGUUCUUAACAACUGUCCUAAUUCCUUGAAAGAAGUUUUAAGGGCCAAAAUGAAAUAAUUUAAAAACAAAACUGAUUUAUGGGUGCAAAAAAAGUUCGAAUGAAUAAAUUAGAGCUAAUAUUUGAUAGCACAACAAGGUGACUACAGUUAACAAUGACUUAAUUGUACAUUUAAAAAUAAUGGUAUAAUUGGAUUGUUUAUAAAAUAAAAGAUAAAUGCUUGAGGGGAUGAAUACCCCAUUCUCCAUGAUGUCAUUAUUCACACAUGGCAUGCUGGUAUCAAAACAUCUCAUGUACCUCAUAAAUAUAUACACCUACUAUGUAUCCACAGAAAUUAAAAACUUAAAAUUUAAAAAAAAUGGUGGCUGGGCGCGGUGGCUCACGCCUAUAAUCCCAGCACUUCAAGAGGCAAAGGCGGGUGGAUCACGAGGUCAAGAGAUCGAGACCAUCCUGGUCAACAAGGUGAAACCCCAUCUCUACUAAAAAUACAAAAAUUAGCUGGGCAUGGUGGUGCGUGCCUAUAGUCCCAGCUACUCGGGAGGCUGAGGCGGGAGAAAUGCUUGAACCCAGGAGGCAGAGGUUGUGGUGAGCCAAGAUUGCACCACUGCAUUCCAGCCUGGGUAACAAGAGUGAAACUCCAUCUCAAAAAAAAAAAAGGUAUAGAGCCUCCCCUCACACUAUAUAAAAAUUAAUUCUAGAUAAAUAUUAACAUUUUAAGCAUGAAAUGACAGAAAAUAUAGGAUAAUAAAUAUAGUUACAAGGUAGUAUUAUUACUCUUAUUUUGGAGAGGAGCAAACCGAGGCUCAGAGAAGUUAAGUAACUAAGGAAGUUCACACAGCAAGAAGGUAGUUGUACCAGAAUUUGAAUUCAGUUCUGACUGCAAAGCUUAUGGUCUGAAUUAUCUCAUCACAUUAUUUCAGGAAUUUAGCACUUUCCAGAAAACAUUGUUUUUCUUUCUUUCUUUCUUUGGGAAAACUUCCGCCUCCUGGGUUCAAACGAUUCUCAUGCUUCAGCCUCCCAAGUAGCUGGGAUUACAGGUGUGUGUUACCACACUGGCUAAGUUUUGUAUUUCUUGUUUCACCAAACAUGGUUUCUCCAUGUUGGCCAGGCUAGUCUCAAACUCCUGGCAUCAAGUGACCCAACCUCCUUGGCCUCCCAAAGUGCUGGAAUUAUAGGCAUGAGCCACUGUGCCUAGCUGCAUUUUCCAGAUAACUUUCUAAGUUUAGAAAUAAUAGAAGAAAUCACAAAAGAAAAGAUUUGUCAUAAAAUCUGUGUUAAAAACAAAAAACAAAUCCUGAAUGCCAGGUCAAGUGAGAGCUGACAGACACUGGGUGACCCUGUGCCUCGCUGAGGAAAAAUAACUAAACAUGGGCAGCGGAGACUCUGAGAAGCCAAGAGGCAAAAUGUCAUCGUAUGCACUCCCUGUCCAAGCUUGUCGAGAGUGGCACAAGGAGAAGCACCCAGAUGCUUCAGGCAACUCCUCAGAGCUUUCUAAGAGAGAGAGGCAGAAAACCACAUCAGCUAAAGAUAAAGGAAAAUUUGAAGAUGUAGUAAAGGCGGACAAGCCUGGCUAGGAAAGGGAAAUGAAAACUUACAACCUUCCUAUAGGGAAGACAAAAAAGAAAUUCCAGCAUCCCAACACAUCCAAGAGGCCUCCUUUGGCCUCUUCCUGUUCUAUUCCAAGCAUUACCCAAAACUGAAAGAACAUCCCAACCUAUCCGUUGGUGAUGUAGCAAAGAAAGAAGGAGACAUGAGGUUUAUAACCACUGAGGAGGACAAGCAGCCUUAGGAAAAGACACCCGCAAAGCUCAACGAAAAAUACAAAAAGAUACAAAAUUGCUGCAUACCGAGCUAAAGGAAAGCCUGGUGCAGCAAGAAAAGGGAGCUCUCAAGGUCAAACAAGCAAGAAAAUGAAAGAAUGGGAGAAACUGAGGAAGAGGAAGAGGAUGAGGAGAAAGGAAAGAUGAAAACAAAGAUGAUGAAUAAACUGGUUCUAGCCUUUUUUUCCCUCAUAUAUAAUAUAUUUAACCAUCACCAUCCCACCCCCACCAAUACUCAAUGCAUUCCUUUCAAAGAGAUAAAUUAAAACAUAAGGCCAUGUGAGAUUUUUUUUUAAACCGUGCAGCAUCUUUUUUUUUUUCAUAUAGUUAACAUACUACCCAAUGUGUCUUUAGAUAACCCCGUGUCCUGGUAAUAUUUUCAAUAGCCACCAACCUUGCCUGGUGCAUUAUGGGGGUUGUAAAUUGCCAUGGAAAUUUAAAGCAUGCUCUUGUUGGCUGGCGCACAGCACAAAUUAGUUGUGUAUGUGCAUGGUGGUGCCUUCAUAUUUAGUUGUCUCUAAUGCAGCUUAUACAAAUAAUUGCUGAUAUAAUGAACUGAAUACCACUUGGGCCAGGCGUGGUGGCUCACGCCUAUAAUCCCAGCACUUUGGGAGGCCAAGGCAGAAGGAUUGCUUGAGGUCAGGAGUUUGAGACAAACUUGGGCAACAUGGCAAGACCCCAUCUCUACAAAAAAUACAAAAGUUAGCCAGGCGUGGUGGUGCACAUCUGUAAUCCCAGUUACACAGGAGCUGAGGUAGGAGGAUCGCUUGAACCCGGGAGGUGGAGGCUACAGUGAGCUGUGAUUGUACCACUGUACUCCAGCCUGGGUGACAGAGUGAGACCCUGUCUCCAAAAAUACAUACAUACAUACAUACAUACAUACAUACAUACCACUCUGUAAUUUUUUUAAAAGUUACAGCUGUUUUGUCAACAUUCUGAAUGCUUCUAAGUAAAUAGAAUUUUUAAAUUAAAACAACAACAACAAAGUCCUGUGCUUCUUGUACACAUACACUAAAACUUCAAUGAUGCAAAGACGAUGAGCAUGGCCACUGCCCAAGGGUGACAUGCAAAUUCAUGAAAUGUUCUACACUAAAAACCAAAAACUACAUUUCCCUGUACAACACAAAGGGCAAAAAAGGAAAAGUUAUGUAGAAAGUAUAACAGAAAAAAGUUAAUGUCUUUAUAACAUGAGUUGAUACAAAUAUUAUUGGAAAAAAUAUGUAUCUCUGCUUGCCCCCCUAUAGCUUUGUUCCACAGAGCAGCCCCACCCUCCCUUUUUUCCCUCCUUUCCUUCCUCCCUUUUCUUCCCUCCUUCCCUCCCUCCCUUCCCCCUUUCCCUUCCCUUUCUUUCCUUUCCCUCCCCUCUCCUCCCCUCCCCUCCCCUUCCCUUUCCACCUUACCUUCCCUCUUCCCUCUCUCUCUUUUACUGAGACAAGGUCUCACUCUGUCACCCAGGCUGGGGUACAGUGGCAAAAUCACAGCUCACUGUAGCCCCAGUCUCCUGGGUGCAAGUGAUCCUCCUGCCUCAGCAUCCCAAGUAGCUGAGACCACAAGCGUGCACCACUAUACUUGGCUAAUUUUAAAAUUUUUUGUAGAGAUGGGGUCUUGCUUUGUUUUCAGGACUGAUUUUGAACUCCGGGUCUCAAGUGAUCCUCCUUCCUUGGCCUCCCAAAGUGCUGGGAUUACAGGUGUGAGCCACCAUGCCUGGCCACUAGUCAUUUUAAAAUUCAAAAUGUCAAAUCUUCAGUGAUUUCUGACUGCUCCUUGGCCUGUGAUUACCACCUGCUCUAGCUGUACUGAUUGCUCUGUUCUCUAAGCAUACCAAGUGCUCAACCUCAGGGCCUUUGCAUGUGCCUCUUCCUUUGGAAUGCUUUUCCCAGCUUGUCCUAGCUCGUCCCUUCUCCAAGUCUUGGCUUAAAUGCCACACCUCAGGGAGAUCUUUUCUGACCAGUCCAGCCAAGGAAGACCCUGCCUUGUUUUUUCCUUCAAAUAACUCACCACAAAUUGUAGUUAUUUUAAUUUUUGUUCUUUUGCUUUCUUAUGUUUGCCUGUGUCUCUCACUAGAUGCCGGCUCCUAGAGACCAGGGCCAUGUCUGUCUAAUUCUCCUUGUUAUCCCCAAUGCCUAGCAGGAGGCCUGCCACCUAAGUGGUCCCAACAAAUACUUGCUGAAGGAGUGAAGUUCAUAAAAAAGAUCAUGAAGUGCUUCAGCAGCACACACACUAAAAUCAGAAUGAUACAGAGGAAUGUAGCAGGACCCCUGUGCAGAAUAAUGUGUGAAUUCCUGAAGCGUGCCUAUAUCAGAACACCUCACGUACCACAUAAACAUAUGCACCUACUAGGUACCCAUGAAAAUUAAAAAUAAAUAAAUAAAUAAAAGAACAGGAAGGGGUGUGUCCUCUAUUAGCCUCUGAGGACGGGUGAGACCAGAGGUGAGAGAAAACAGGGAGGGGAAACUUGAGCUUUUUUACUCUAUACAAAUCUUUUCUUUUUUUUUUUUUUUUUUUUUUUUUGUGAUGGAGUUUCACUCUUGUUGCCCAGGCUGGAGUCCAAUGAAGCAAUCUCAGUUCACUGCAACCUCCACCUCCCAGGUUCAAGAGAUUCUCCUGCCUCGCCUCCUGAGUAGCAGAGAUUACAGGCACCUGCCCCCAAGCCUGGCUAAUUUUUGCAUUUUUACUAGAGACGGGGUUUCACCAUGUUGGCCAGGCUGGUCUCGAACUUUUGACUUCAGGUGAUCUGCCUGCUUUGGCCUCCAAAAGUGCUGGGAUUACAGGUGUGAGUCACUGCGCCUGGUCUUUUUGUUUGUUUGUUUUGUUUUGUUUUGUUUGUCUUUGAGACACUCUUGCUCUGUUGCCCAAGCUAGAGUGCAGUGGCACAGUCUCGGCUCACUGCAACUUCCACCUCCCAAGUUCAAGCGAUUCUUGUGCCUCCGCAUCAGGAGUAGCUGGGACUACAGGCGUGUUCCACCACACAGGCAGAAAAAAAUAAAAAUAUUUGUAUUUUUAGUAGAGGAGGGUUUUUGCCGUGUUGGUCAGGCUGGUCUCAAACUCCUGACUUCAAGUGAUCUGCCUUCCUCAGCCUCCCAAAGUACUGAGAAUACAGGCGUGAGCCAGGGUGCAUGGCCAGAAACUUUCAUUUUUAAAAAACCUAAAGAGUCUAUUCCUUUACAAUUUAAAAAGGAAUUUAAAAGACAAGAAAAAGAACUUCCUGUUGAAAGUUUUCAGUCACCCAAGUAGGGCAAACAAUGAGCCAUUACUUGCUCAUUAAAGUAGGGAGCCUUGUUUUGAAGAAGCUACUCCAGGCGGUUUAGCUGUGUGGCGGAAUAAAUGCUCACAGGCACAGCUGGUGCUGGUGACUUCAGCUGCUGUAGCCACAUGAAGACGCGUGUGGGAUUCAGUCAGCCCACACCUGGGAAAGCGGCAGAAACACUCUGAGAGAAAGGAAGGGCUAUACGCACAAAGAGACUCAUUUCAACAUGCGAAUAAAAACCUAAUAACAGAAUUGUGUGAGUGGCCUAACAGCAGGGGAUUGGGUAAGUAUGUUAGGACACGUAUAUAAAAAAUGAGGCUUAUGUUAUAAUAUUAAGUAAAAACACAACUGGCUACAGCACAGUAUGGCUGCCACAGCAGCAACUAUGUUAGCUCUCUCUUUUCCUCUUUUUUUUUUUUUUUUAAAGAUAGGGUCUUGCUCUGUUGCCCGGGCUGAAGGGCAGUGAUACAAUCCUAGCUCACAACAACCUCAAACUCCUGCGAUCAAGCCGUCUUCCUGCCUCAGCCUCCCAAGUAGCUGGGACUACAGGCAUGCACCACUGCACCUUGAAAAAAAAUUUUUUUUUUUUUGAGACAGUUUCACUCUGUUGUCCAGGCUGGAGUGCGGUGGCAUGACCUUGGCUCACUGUAAGCUCCGCCUUCUGAUUUCAAGUGAUUCUCCUGCCUCAGCCUCCCAAGUUGCUGGGAUUACAGGUGUCCGCCACCACGCCUGGAUAAUUUUUGUAUUUUUAGUAGAGAUGGGUUUCAUCAUGUUGACCAGGCUGGUCUUGAACUCCUGAUCUCAUGAUCUGCCCACUUUGGCCUCCUAAAGUGCUGGGAUUAUGGAUGUGAGCCACUACACCUGGCCUGCACCUCACAAUUUUUAAAAUUUUGAGUAAAGACAGGGUCUCACUAUGUUGCCCAGGCUAGUCUUGAACUCCUGGCCUCAAGUGAUCUUUCCACCUUGACCUCCCAAAGUGCUGGGAAUACAGGCAUGGGACACUGUGCCUGGCCUAAACUCUCUCUUAAAAAGAAUGGAAGAAAAUGUAAGAAACAACAAUAAUUAUUAUUUGGGAUGGUGAGAUUAUAGGUAAUUUUUUCAUUCUCAAUAAUGUUAUUAUUCUUUUAGAAUGGUUAAUCUUAUAGAUCUUUUAUAGAAUUUAAAAGUAAAUUUUGACAGAAAGGACCAAUCCCUGUGCUGAAUCCACUAUAUUAACAGUGAAGGUGAUGGCCACGUGUGGCGGCUGACAUCUGUAAUCUAUAAUAAGAGGAAAAUAAGAGGAAAGGUGCUGUGGCUGGCUCAAGGCCGCAGUGAAAGACGACCCAUCUAGACCUGGGUUUCAGACAUCCCUCAGUGCUCUCUCCCCACGCCUCAGCCUCCUAAGAGGCCUCAAGAAAGACAGCAGCGAAGCCUGAAGCCAUCCUGUCUCCUGGGACUGUAGGAUGCAGGUGGUGAAUCACCAAUCCAGUCAGGCCCAGGAAGCAGGAGAGCAGCCGCCAGGGGCCCUCAGGAGCCGCUGUGCCAUGUCAUCCCCUGCCGCAGGGACGGGACUGGGCCACUCACGGAGAUCCACUGUUUCCUGGCGCCGACCCACUCCUCGACUCCUGCCAGGCGGCGUUGCUUGUACUUGGAGAGUUCUUGAUAGGCCACAAACUCGUUCAGAAACAGCUUGAUCCCCAGCAGCUCAGCUACCACUGGGCAGUCCUCCCAGGCCACACCCAUCAAGAAGGCUACAGGCCGCAGGAUGUAGGAGCAGAUGAGCUGAGGGGACAAGGGUGUGGCUGGCACUGAGGGCUGGGCCUAGACUCUGCUGGGCCUCCAGCCACCUCACACCACCCACCUGGGGCCAACCUCUCUACAGACCGAGCAUGGUGACCAGAAACACACCUGGAAGCUGAGCCCCUGGAUGUCCACCAUGUCUCCCAGCCAGAAGAGGGCAGCAUUGAUGAAGGCCAGCACAGCCAGGAACGCAAUCAGGUUGGCAGCGAUGUUGGCAACCACCUUCACAGAGAUGGCGGCCCCAGUGCUGGCUGCUUCUAUGAGGUUCUGAGCAUCUCUGUCGUUGGGAUCGAGAACAAUCAUUACUGGCCUGUCUCCACAACCAGCAAGGGUCCCUAUCUUACAGGCACAAAUAGGAACCCUGGAAGAGCACUUCAGAGCAGGAAUUCCUCAUUUUUCCUGAGACCCAGAGAGAAGAAGGGGCUGGCCAAAGCACUGGGACAAGGUCCAGAUUUCUAGCACCAAACUGUCCAAGAUGGAAGCCAUUAGCCACAUGCGACAGGAGGCUGUCUGAAUUGAAUUUCUUGACAACUACUAGAAAAUGACAGGCGUGGCUCACAUUACACUUCCACGGGACAGCGCUGCUCAGUGCUUCAGAAGGUUGUGAAGUUGGGGUGUGCCCAAGCAUGUGUCCGACGUGGUGCCUUUGCAACACUGUUUAAGGUUUAAAUGUUGCCUAACAGUUAUUAAGACUUAUGAGAGGAUAUUAGGAGACAAGGAAACUGAGACUCCAACGGAUUCAAUGUGACUUGCCCAAAGUAAAGGAAGAGAAGGAAUCAGAGCCCAUCACACCUUUUGGCUCCAAAUUCAAGGUUCUUUCGUCCUUUUUAAGGCGUCACUGUUGACCACUAAUUGCCAUUAGCUGAGGUUUCCCCCUUAGUGGAAGAAUUUGUGAUGGUUUCAGACAAAGAUCUAGAACCUGAGAGUGGAAAUGAAAUGGACUUAACAGCUCACCCAGUUCCACCUUAAUGUAGAGCCUCAUCCAGUGGCACAAUCUCAGCUCACUGCAACCUCUGCCUCCCAGGUUCAAGCAACUCUCCUGCCUCAGCCUUCCAAGUAGCUGGGAUUAUAGGCACAUGCCACCAUACCCAGCUAAUUUUUGUAUUUUUAGUAGAGACGAGGUUUCACCAUGUUAGCCAGGCUGGUCUCAAACUCCUGACCUCAGGUGGUCCACCUGCCUUGGCUUCCCAAAGUGCUGGGAUUACAGGUGUGAGCCACCAUGCCCAACAGAAAGCUCUUCUUUUUAAUCAAGAGGAAAUCUGCUUUCCUGGAGUUCUCUCCGCUGCUGGUGCCUCUCAGGCUGCCCUUCCCCUAAACUCUCCUCUGUAAGUAUUUGUAUACAGCUGUCCUACCCCUCACUUCCUCUUCUCCAGGCUCCUCAUUCCUUACUCCUGCAGUCAUUCUGCAAAGGGUAUGGCUUCAGGCCCUUUCACUCUCCUGCUUAUAGUUCAGUUUGUCAUAGCCUCUUGGUUGAACACAUUCUCCAGAUCUGGGAAUAAUCACCUCCUUUAUGCUAUGCAGUCUGUGCUCUCAACAUAACUGCUAUGGUCUGAAUAUCCCCACCAAAACUCAUCUUGAAAUUUGAUUGCCAAAGUUAAAAAAAAAAAGAUAUUUGAUUGCCAUUGUAACAAUGUUGAGAAGCAUGACCUUUAGGAGAUGAUUAGGUCGUGAAGGCUCUGCCCUCACGAAUGGAUUAAUGCUGCUAUUGCAGGAGUAGUUUGGUUAUCAUGGGAGUGAACUCCUGAUAAAAAGGAUAAGUCCGGCCCUGAUCUCUCUGUGUCUCAUGUGCUCACUCUGCCUUCUGCCCUUCCACCAUGUUAUGACACAGCAAGAAGGCCCUUACCAGAUGUCAGUGCCAUGCUCUUGGCCUUCCCAGCCUCCAGAACCAUGAGCCAAAUAAAUCUCUUUUCUUUAUAAAUUACCCAGUCUGUGAUAUUCUGUUACAGCAAUAGAAAAUGAACGAGGACAAUAAUCACAGGUUGUUUUUGCAUUUCUGGUAGCCAUCUGAUAUUCCUGAUUUAUUCUGAGCUCAAUCAGUUAAAACCUCAGAAUCUUUUGCCAGGCCCAGUGCUAUCCGGUGCUGUCCAAUACUGUCUCCUACAUCCUGGUUUUGUGCAGCAGAUUUUAUGAACAUAAGCGCACAGGAUUUGACAUUUAUACUAGCUAAAUCUGGCCAAUAUGGCCCACUGCAACAGUGUCUCAAUAUCUUUUUGCUAUAAAUUACUUUUCCCCUCUACACCUUCUCAAUGCAGCCUCAAAACUGCAACCUUUCCUCCAGCAAAGACCACAUUAGACUUUGGUGCUAUUUCUCCUUAGUAUCAUGACAGGAGACCCUGGGAAAGGAUAUUUGGUCAGUACUAAAUUCUGCAAGGGUGGGGAUCCUGGAAGCAGGGGGUUCAGGGAAGGUAUGGACCUCAGGAGCAAAGGCUUCUAGGAAGGUGUGAACUCUAAGAGUGGGGGAUUCUGGGAAGCUGUGGACGUCAGGAGCAAAAGAUCCUAGGAAGGUGGAACUCUAAGAAUGGGGGAUUCUGGGAAACUGUGGACCUCAGGAGCAAAGGAUCCUAGGAAGGUGUGAACUCUAAAAGCAGGGGGUUCUGGAUAGGUGUGGGCCUCAGGAGCAAGGGAUUCCAGAAAGUUGUGGAACUUGGGAACUGGGAGUUCUGGAAAGGUGUAGGCACUGGGAGUAGGGGAUUCUGGAAGGGUGUGGGCUUGGAGAGCAGUGUAUCUGGGGAGGUUUGGGCUCUGGAAGCAAGCCAUUCUGGGAGAGUGUGAACCCUGCGAGCUGGUGACUCUGGGAGAGCCCAGGUCAUGGGCACUGAGAACUCACCUUCAGGAUCACCCACUGCAUAAGGCCCACGUGGUAGAGAACUGAUAUGACACAGCUGAAGAAGAUGAUGAUGGGCAGAAUCUGCCAAGAGGGAGAGCACAGGACUCCAGGUUAGAGGCAGGCGGGAGACAGGGUGCCAGGCAGGGCCCAGGAGACUCCAGGCAGCCCACUCCCUUGCAGGCCUUGCCUCUCAGAGGCGUGCCAGGACCCGGGAAGAUGUCUGGGACUGGUGCAUGAAGCCCCACCUAUUCCACUUGCAGGCCCUCUUUGGAGGCAGCCUCGUCCUCUCAGAUCCCCUGUAAAUAGUGACAGCCACCAGACCAUCCUCUCUCUCCUCACACAGGUAGGCCAGUGCUGUGGUGGGGUGGGGCCUGAGUGCACUGCUUUUAUCUCCUGCUUCUUUGUCUCUAAAAUGGGGGGUAAAAUGCCCACAUCCGAGGGGCGUUGUGAGGGUGACAGUGUGCAUCUUCUCCACGAGCUCAAUCCUUGGCCUCAGAUUCUGGCCCUAACCUCUCUCGCGCGUUUUGGGAUUGAAUGAGGGAACCCUCAUCAUUCUGAUGUUCCGCUUCCGCUCAUCACCGACCCAAGCCAGCAUCUCCUCCCGUCACCCCAUUUCCUAUGAUUAAUACCCAGCUAAAUGCCCCUCUUCCUUCACUCCAGGGCUUAGGCAUUCUCCCUUCAGAAUUUUUCUCACACCCACUCCCUCCUUUCUAGGCCCAUGGAAAAGGAGGUUGCUUUUCUGCACCCUAGUCUUUUUUUACUGCAGUCUGAUUUAUAACAACGAACUGGCAAAAAUGGAGAGGUCUGUUAGUGGGGGACUAGUUUCAUCACCUACGAUUCAGACAGACACCGGCGCACUAAGGGUCAGGAAACAAGAAUGCGGAAGGUCUCUAUGGGGAGUUGUGGACAGAUUCCAAGACGUAUUGUUAAAUGCAAAAAGGGAAGGUGGACCACAAGAGUGUAUGCUAUGCUGUUAUGUAGGUUUCAAAAGGCGGUGGGACGUAGCUGUGCAUUGUGGCAUGUGUCUAUAGUCCCAGCUCCCCAGGAGGCUGAGGCAAGUGGAUUGCUUGAGCCCAGGAGUUCAAGGCCAGGCUGGGGAACAUAGUAAGAUCCCCUACCUCUCCAAAAACAUGUGUGUGAGGGGCACUGUGUGUGAUCUUGUAUGGGCGCGGGGAUCAAUAGAAGAAUGUGUAGGAGGCCAGCAACAGCAGGUGCCUUUGUGGAGGGAACUGGGUGCCUUGGGGGCCAGGGAUGAGAGGAAGGUUAUUUUUUACCUUAUACCCUUUUAGGUUGGAAAUGUUUGCUCUGUUCUGUGUCAUGUGUCCCCAACAGUUUACAUUCGUCAUGCAGAACUGGUAAUAGCAUGGGAGCAUUCUUAAGCUAAAAUGUUAAGUGGGAAAAUUGGAAAAUUUAAAUUAUAGAAAGAAGCACUACCAAAUAGUCAAAGGGCUUGUUUCUAUGUGCUGGGGCUAUGAAGAUUUUGUUUACUUUUUUCUUUAUGAAUUUCUUAUCUGUUCCUAUAAUUUUCUUUUUUGAGAUGGAGUCUCACUGUUUUACCCAGGCUGGAGUGCAGUGGCUUGAUCUCAGCUCACUGCAGCCUCUGCUCCCAGAUUCAAGUGAUUCUCCUACCUCAGCCUCCCAAGUAGCAAGGCUUACAGGUGCCAGCUGCCACGCCCAGCUAAUUUUUGUACUUUUAUUAGAGACAAGGUUUCACCAUGUUGGCCAGGCUGGUCUUGAACUCCUGACCUAAAGUAAUCUGCCUGACUCAUUCUCCCAAAGUGCUGAUAUUACAGGUGUGAGCCACCGUGCCCAGCUGUUCCUAUAAUUUUCAAUAAUAGGUGGACAUUUCUCAAGGGAGAGAGUAUAGGCAGGAGUGGUUUGUGGGAAAAUCAGUUUGGUUUUGAACUUUGAAUUUGAGAUGCCUGUGGAAUAUCGAGUGGCAGCUGGAUAAAAGGAGGGGAGAUCUGGACCUGGCCUUGGCUUGGGACUCUUUCAUAAGAAGUACAAGUUGGCCCAGCGUGGUGACUCACACCUGUAAUCCCAGCACUUUAGGAGGCCGAGACAGGAGGUUUGCUUGAGUUCAGGAGUUUGAGACCAGCCUCGGAAACAAAGCAAGGCCCCCAUCUCUACACAAUUUCUUUUUAAUAGCUGGGCAUGGUGGCACAUGCAUGUGGUUCCAGCUGCUCUGGAGGGUGAAGUAGGAGGAUCACUGGAUUCCAGGAAUUGGAGGCUGCAGUGAGUCAUGAUCAUGGCACUGCACUACAGCCCAGACAACAGAGUGAGACUCCAUCUGGUGGCUCACACCUGUAAUCCCAGCACUUCAAGAGGCUGAGGUGGGUGAAUCAUUUGAGGUUAGGAGUUCAAGACCAGCCUGGUCAACAUGGUGAAACCCCAUCUCUACUCAAAAUAAAAAUAAAGUCGGGUGUGGUGGUAGGCGCCUGUAAUCCUGGCUACUCAGGAGGCUGAGGCACGAGAAUCACUUGAACCCAGGAGGGGGAGGUUGCAGUGAGCCAACAUCAUGACACUGCACUGCAGCCUGGGGUGACUGAGUGAGACCCUGAUAAAAAAAGAAGAAGAACAAGAAGAAGACAUAGUAGUGGUACAGGCUGAGGUGGCUGGUGGGUGCAAUUCACUGUGGAAAUCACCCUGAGUGAAAAGAGCAGGGGCUAAGGAGGCCCUGUGCUCAGUGCGUCACUGAAGGGUGAGAGCGGAAGGAGGUGCCUGUGAAGGAGACAAAGAAAUAGCCAAUGGCCAAGGCAGGCUGAUCACCUGAGGUCAGGAGUUCAAGACCAGCCUUGCCAACAUGGCGAAACCCCGUCUCUACUAAAAAUACCAAAAAUUAGCCAGGUGUAGUAGUGGGCACCUGUAGUCCCAGCUACUAAGGAGGCUGAGACAGGAGAAUUGCUUGAACCUAGGAGGCAGAGGCUGCAGUGAGCCAAGAUUGCACCAUUGCACUCCAGCCUGGGCAACAAGAGCAAAACUCCAUCUGAAAAAAAAGAAAGAAAGAAAUAGCCAAGGUCUGGAAAUAGCGAGGAGACAGGUGGGAUGGAAACGGAGGGGCAGAUUUUCAAGAAGUGAAAGUCACUGGCAGCUGUGUCAGGUGCAUCAGAGAACUCUGGAAAGGUCAGGACUGAGCCAGACUCCUGGGACUUAGCCACCCGGAGGCGCCCGUGAUCUAGGUGAGAGCGGUGUCAGAGGAAGGGUGGGGACCGAGGCUGAUGUCAGUGAGCCAAGGUGGAAAGGGGACAUGAGGAAGGAGAGAUCACAAGUGUGAACAGCUCUUGCUGCAAGGAGCAGCGCUGUGCUCACCACUGGACCCUGCUGAGGGCCCGGCAAGGGCUGCUUUUGUUUUUAAGGAGGGAGAGUCUUGAGCAACCAAAUUUAGGCUCUAUUUCAAAGUGAACUGGCCCCUGAAGAGAAUGGCGAUUCAGCCCCAGGCAGCUGGGAAGCAAGCUCUGCUGGCCUUUUCUUCCUCCUGUCCCUUCCCAGACCGAUACUGCAGGCAGUAUCUGGACUUGCUCUGCUGUCAUCUGUCACCAACUUCACUGCAGUGGGGAAGUCACCUGACAGAGAACACCAGAACCGGCUCAAAGAAACCCUUGUGCUGGCCCCUUGUGCUGGCCCGUGACUCCUCCUCCCGCCUGGGGCUAGAAGCAUGUCCAGCAUGGGUGUGAUGACAUCAUUUCACCACUCCUGGGACUGAGACGCAGAGGGGGUCACGCACUGUCUAGACUGCUUGUCCAGUGGGUCCUGAGAGAGACUGGCAGGCCUGUAGGGAUGGCCCACGCCAGGGAGGAGAGUGCCCGGGACAUCGGGACCCCACUGCAGCACUGGGACUUUCUCCUGCCAGCAAUCAAAAGAGAUUUUCUAUCUGUGAGAUGGAGAUGGAUGGUGGAAAAGAGGCUAUGUUUUGGAUUAAGUGGGGAUUGUCUAGGGAGGGGAGGGGAAUGAAAGAGAAAACAGCGGCCCCAAUUUUCUAAGGUAGGAUAGAAUACUAAAUAAGGUCCCUGCAGCCAAUGCCAUCUCAGCCCAGGAAACAGCUCUGGGGCGCUCCCUGGUAGAUGUGAGAUGGCAGAAGAGCAGGGCAGGCAGCUCAAGGCAGUGCUGCUAUGGAAGGAGGAGGCAAGUGCCGUUAAAUUCCACUGUGCGCCAACCACGAGGGCCUGCUCUGGGCCAGGUCCCUAACGGGUGGGGACUCAUCAAUGCUCACAGCAGCUGUGGUGGAUGUAACUGUCCCCACUUCACAAUGAGCACACGGAGGCUGUGAGAUCUUGGUUACCCACCUGAGGUCAUACACCAGCAAAGAGGGAGACCUACCUCCCAGCCACCAGGUACAAUGCCAAGGUCCUGCCAUGCCCCUCGGGAGGUUUGCCCCGGGAACAGUCCUGGAGGUUUAUUCCUCUGCCUUCAGGGGCAGCAUGCAUCCCUGCUGGAAACUGAAUAACUGAGUCCCCCCAAAUUCAUAUAUUGAAACCUAAUUCCCUAGGUGAUGGUAUUAGGAGGUGGAGACUUUGGAGUGAUCAGAUUAUGAUUGUGGAGCCCUCAUGAAUGGGAUUAGUGCCCUUAUAAAAGAGGUCCCAUGCCAGGCACAGUGGCUCACACCUAUAAUCCCAGCACUUCGGGAGGCUGAGGCUGGAGGAUCCCUUGAACUCAGUUCAAGACCAGCCUGGGCAAAAAAAAAAAAUUAGCUGGGCAUGGUGGCAUGCACCUGUAGCCCCAGCUAUUCUGGAGACUGAGGCAGGAGGAUCACUUGAACCCAGGAGAUGGAGGCUGCAAUGAGCAGUGAUCACAUCGCUGCACUCCAGCCUGGGCAACAGAGUGAGAUCCUAUCUCAAAAAAAUAAAAAUAAAAAAUAAAAGAGGCUCCAGAGAGCUCCCUCACCUCUCUUACCACAUGAGGACACAGACAACCAAGUGGGGAGAGGGCAAAGUGGGCCUCAACAGAAGUCACCCUUGCGGGCACCCUGAUCUCAGACGCUAGCCUCUAGAAGUGUGGGAAAUAAAUUUCUGUUGCUUGUAA